GUGCUUGCUUGGGCAGCACAUAUACUAAACUGGAACAAUACAGAGAAGAUGAGCAUGGCCCCUGCACAAGGAUGAAUGCAAAUUCAUGAAGUGUUCCACAUUUUC
ensembl:snRNA U6 U6 spliceosomal RNA